GCGGGGGUGCCCGAGCCAGGACAAAGGGGCGGGACUUAAGAUCCCGUGGCGUAGGCCUGCGCGGGUUCGAAUCCCGCCCCCCGCA
rnacentral:tRNA from 1 species